AUGAACGCUGGCGGCGUGCCUAAUACAUGCAAGUCGAGCGAACGGACGAGAAGCUUGCUUCUCUGAUGUUAGCGGCGGACGGGUGAGUAACACGUGGAUAACCUACCUACAAGACUGGGAUAACUUCGGGAAACCGGAGCUAAUACCGGAUAAUAUUUUGAACCGCAUGGUUCAAAAGUGAAAGACGGUCUUGCUGUCACUUAUAGAUGGAUCCGCGCUGCAUUAGCUAGUUGGUAAGGUAACGGCUUACCAAGGCAACGAUGCAUAGCCGACCUGAGAGGGUGAUCGGCCACACUGGAACUGAGACACGGUCCAGACUCCUACGGGAGGCAGCAGUAGGGAAUCUUCCGCAAUGGGCGAAAGCCUGACGGAGCAACGCCGCGUGAGUGAUGAAGGUCUUCGGAUCGUAAAACUCUGUUAUUAGGGAAGAACAUAUGUGUAAGUAACUGUGCACAUCUUGACGGUACCUAAUCAGAAAGCCACGGCUAACUACGUG
rnacentral:rRNA from 1 species